AUUGAACGCUGGCGGCAUGCCUUACACAUGCAAGUCGAACGGUAACAGGUCUUCGGAUGCUGACGAGUGGCGAACGGGUGAGUAAUACAUCGGAACGUGCCCGAUCGUGGGGGAUAACGGAGCGAAAGCUUUGCUAAUACCGCAUACGGUCUACGGAUGAAAGCAGGGGACCGCAAGGCCUUGCGCGGACGGAGCGGCCGAUGGCAGAUUUGGUAGUUGGUGGGAUAAAAGCUUACCAAGCCGACGAUCUGUAACUGGUCUGAGAGGACGACCAGCCACACUGGGACUGAGACACGGCCCAGACUCCUUCGGGAGGCAGCAGUGGGGAAUUUUGGACAAUGGGCGCAAGCCUGAUCCAGCCAUGCCGCGUGCAGGAUGAAGGCCUUCGGGUUGUGAACUGCUUUUGUACGGAACGAAAAGACUCUUUCUAAUAAAGAGGGUCCAUGACGGUACCGUAAGAAUAAGCACCGGCUAACUACGUGCCAGCCGCCGCCGUAAAAC
rnacentral:rRNA from 1 species